UGUUAUGUACAUGCCUACAAUACGUUAAUUCACUAGAUCCCAUUAGAACUCUGCAGUUAAGCACGCUCGGGCUAGAGUAGUACUAGGAUGGGUGACCACUUGGGAAGUCAUAGUAUUUUACAU
rnacentral:rRNA from 1 species